AUCUAGGCCAUGCUACCCUGAACAAGCCUGACCCCGUCUGAUCUCGGAAGCUAAGCAGGAUCGAGCCUGGUUAGUAAUAUGAUGGGAGACCACCUAGGAAGAUGAGGUGCUGUAGGUG
rnacentral:rRNA from 1 species